GACGAACGCUGGCGGCGUGCUUAACACAUGCAAGUCGAACGGAAAGGCCCUGCUUUUGUGUGGUGCUCGAGUGGCGAACGGGUGAGUAACACGUGAGUAACCUUCCCUUGACUUUGGGAUAACUGCAGGAAACUGGGGCUAAUACCGGAUAGGAGCUCCUGCUGCAUGGUGGGGGUUGGAAAGUUUCGGCGGUUGGGGAUGGACUCGCGGCUUAUCAGCUUGUUGGUGGGGUAGUGGCUUACCAAGGCUUUGACGGGUAGCCGGCCUGAGAGGGUGACCGGCCACAUUGGGACUGAGAUACGGCCCAGACUCCUACGGGAGGCAGCGGUGGGAAAUAUUGCACAAUGGGCGGAAGCCUGAUGCAGCAACGCCGCGUGCGGGAUGACGGCCUUCGGGUUGUAAACCGCUUUCGCCUGUGACGAAGCGUGAGUGACGGUAAUGGGUAAAGAAGCACCGGCUAACUACGUG
rnacentral:rRNA from 1 species